rnacentral:rRNA from 1 species
CCUACGGGUGGCAGCAGUGGGGAAUAUUGCACAAUGGGCGAAAGCCUGAUGCAGCAACGCCGCGUGAGCGAUGAAGGUCUUCGGGUCGUAAAGCUCUGUCCUCAAGGAAGCUAAUGACGGUACUUGAGGAGGACGCCCCGGCUAACUACGUGACAGCAGCCGCGGUAAUACGGUGGGGGCUAGCGUUAUACGGAAUUACUGGGCGUAAAGGGUGCGUAGGUGGUUUCUUAAGUCAGAGGUGAAAGGCUACGGCUAAACCGUAGUGAGCCGUUGAAACUGGGAAACUUGAGUGCAUGAGAGGAGAGUGGAAUGCCUAGUGUAGCGGUGAAAUGCGUAGAUAUUAGGAGGAACUCCAGUUGCGAAGGCAGCUCUCCGG